CGGUAUGAAAUAGCUCAGUUGGUAGAGCAUGAGACUCUUAAUCUCAUGGUCCUAAAUUCGAGCCCCAUGUUAGGAGAAAGA